UACGUGGGGUGCAAGCGUUGUCCGGAAUUAUUGGGCGUAAAGAGCUCGUAGGCGGUCUGUCGCGUCGGAUGUGAAAAUCCAGGGCUCAACCCUGAACCUGCAUUCGAUACGGGCAGACUAGAGUUCGGUAGGGGAGACUGGAAUUCCACAAGUAGCGGUGAAAUGCGUAGAGAUGUGGAAGAACACCAGUGGCGAAGGCGGUUUUCUAGCUUACUCCUGACGCUAAAGCGCGAAAGCAAGGGGAGCAAACAGG
rnacentral:rRNA from 1 species